UACGUAGGGUGCAGGCGUUAAUCGGAAUUACUGGGCGUAAAGCGUGCGCAGGCGGUCUACUAAGACAGGUGUGAAAUCCCCGGGCUUAACCUGGGAACUGCGCUUGUAACUGGUAGGCUUGAGUGUGGCAGAGGGGGGUGGAAUUCCAGGUGUAGCAGUGAAAUGCGUAGAUAUCUGGAGGAACACCGAUGGCGAAGGCAGCCCCCUGGGCUAACACUGACGCUCCAUGCACGAAAGCGUGGGGAGCAAACAGG
rnacentral:rRNA from 1 species